CCUACGGGCGGCAGCAGUGAGGAAUAUUGGUCAAUGGACGCAAGUCUGAACCAGCCAAGUCGCGUGCAGGAAGACGGCCCUAUGAGUUGUAAACUGCUUUUGUACGGGGGUAAACGCCGACACGUGUAUCUUUCUGAAAGUACCGUACGAAUAAGGAUCGGCUAACUCCGUGCCAGCAGCCGCGGUAAUACGGAGGAUGCGAGCGUUAUCCGGAUUUAUUGGGUUUAAAGGGUGCGAAGGCGGCAGUUCAAGUCAGCGGUAAAAUUUGGGGGCUCAACUUCGGCGUGCCGUUGAUACUGGCGGUCUAGAGAGAAGGAGAAGUAGGCGGAAUGCGUGGUGUAGCGGUGAAAUGCAUAGAGAUCAGGCAGAACGCCGAUUGCGAAGGCAGCAUACCGGAGCACAACUGACGUUGAGGCACGAAAGCGUGGGGAGCGAACAGGAUUAGAUACCCCAGUAGUC
rnacentral:rRNA from 1 species